rnacentral:rRNA from 1 species
AAAUGAAUUGACGGGGACCCGCACAAGCGGUGGAUGAUGUGGAUUAAUUCGAUGCAACGCGAAGAACCUUACCUGGUCUUGACAUGUACGGAAUCCUCCAGAGACGGAGGAGUGCCUUCGGGAACCGUAACACAGGUGCUGCAUGGCUGUCGUCAGCUCGUGUCGUGAGAUGUUGGGUUAAGUCCCGCAACGAGCGCAACCCUUGUCAUUAGUUGCUACCAUUCAGUUGAGCACUCUAAUGAGACUGCCGGUGACAAACCGGAGGAAGGUGGGGAUGACGUCAAGUCCUCAUGGCCCUUAUGACCAGGGCUUCACACGUCAUACAAUGGUCGGUACAGAGGGUAGCCAAGCCGCGAGGUGGAGCCAAUCUCAUAAAGCCGAUCGUAGUCCGGAUCGCACUCUGCAACUCGAGUGCGUGAAGUCGGAAUCGCUAGUAAUCGCAGGUCAGCAUACUGCGGUGAAUACGUUCCCGGGUCUUGUACACACCGCCCGU